UUGGAGAAUCCAUCCGCAAACAGCACCUGCCUGCCUACUGAAGACCCCAUGAGGGCACCACCCUGCAGUCUUGCAGGAAUGCACGCCGCAGCUGUGAGGACAUGACAGAGGGCUGCAGUCUCUACGAUCGCAACACCGGAGCUGAUCUCUGCGCUGCAGGGGGUAUCGCUCUGCCUGUCUAGUCUAGUUGCUGAAACUAGUUAUGGGCAUUACUAUUAUGAAUGAAUAAGGAAUGUCCCUCCUUGGAGGGGCCGGUGUCAAUGUCCGAAGUUACUCGCCA